rnacentral:rRNA from 1 species
GAUGAACGCUGGCGGCGUGCCUAAUACAUGCAAGUCGAGCGAAUGGAUUAAGAGCUUGCUCUUAUGAAGUUAGCGGCGGACGGGUGAGUAACACGUGGGUAACCUGCCCAUAAGACUGGGAUAACUCCGGGAAACCGGGGCUAAUACCGGAUAACAUUUUGAACCGCAUGGUUCGAAAUUGAAAGGCGGCUUCGGCUGUCACUUAUGGAUGGACCCGCGUCGCAUUAGCUAGUUGGUGAGGUAACGGCCCACCAAGGCAACGAUGCGUAGCCGACCUGAUAGGGUGAUCGGCCACACUGGGACUGAGACACGGCCCAGACUCCUACGGGAGGCAGCAGUAGGGAAUCUUCCGCAAUGGACGAAAGUCUGACGGAGCAACGCCGCGUGAGUGAUGGAGGCUUUCGGGUCGUAAAACUCUGUUGUUAGGGAAGAACAAGUGCUAGUUGAAUAAGCUGGCACCUUGACGGUACCUAACCAGAAAGCCACGGCUAACUACGUGCCAGCCGCCGCCGUAA